rnacentral:misc_RNA from 1 species
AACGCACCUUGCGCCACGUGGUAUUCCACGGGGCACGCCUGUUUGAGUGUCACGUAAACCCAUCGCGUCUCGGAUUGUCAUGAUCUGAGGGGCGGAUUUGGACGCUGCCGUAGUGGCUCGUCUCGAAAUGCAUUAGCCAGUCCGAGGACGCGCGCCGUUGGUGUGAUAAUUCACUUUGCGCCGCUGGUCGUGUCCAACGAAGGCUCACAGUCGCCUGCAAAGGCAACACUUUAAUGCUCUGGCCUCAAAUCAGGUGGGACUACCCGCUGAACUUAA